AAAAAAAUCACGGAAGAUGAAUGUAAACGGAAAAAAACCACCAAAUUAACAGUUACCCUUUCCAAUGCCUAAAAUCACGGAAAAUUUGUAUUCCUCCAAAUCUCGAAUUUCCGUCCAGCUCUUUUACCUUCCUCUUUCUUGUUUUCUGAACUUAUUCCUUCCAUUUAUUCAUCAAUGUCGUUCAAUAUUUCCAGUAUUUCUUAAAUCGAAUCAAUUAAUUGAAUAAUUGAUUCACAUUUUCUUCUCCAAUUCCCUAUUUUCAUACUUUCAAUUUUCAAGCUUUCUAAUCAAAACAAUGGCAACGGAAAUAUUUUUAUCAAGAUAUAUAGAGGGGAAUUAUUCAUUAAUCCUCAAUCCUUCUCCUCUCUCUUAUUUCCGUUAGUGGUUGUUUCUAUACAAAAUUAUCUAUCUUUUUGUGGAUUUGUCAAAUCUCGCGGCGGCCGGAGGUGCAACGCGAAGCGGUGGUGGUGGAUAAGGCCGGCGACGCAACAAGAGGCGGCAGUCGGCGCAACAAGAGGCGGCAGUCGGGAAUUGGUGGGGCGAAGCAGUUGAGGGUUUGUGUUAAGAGAGUAGCAGUCAAUAAUCAGAUUGAGAAUCGUCGAUCGAUGCCAAUUGGAUUUUGGAGAUUUAAUUUUUGGAUGUUCUAUCUAAAUUUUGUUCAAUUUAUAGGUGCUAUUGUUCUUUAAAUUCUUUGUUUAAUUGAUUUAUUACUUAGUGUGUUAUUUAUUUUAUUCAA